rnacentral:rRNA from 1 species
GACAGAGGUGCCGAGCGUUAGGCGGAAUCACUGGGCUUAAAGCGUGUGUAGGCGGCCCGUUAAGUGCCUCGUGAAAUCCCCCGGCUCAACCGGGGAACUGCCGGGCAUACUGGCGGGCUUGGGUCGCUCAGGGGCAGACGGAACAGGCGGUGGAGCGGUGAAAUGCGUAGAUAUCAGGAGGAACACCGGUGGCGAAGGCGGUUCUCUGGGCCUUACCUGACGCUGAGGAGCGAAAGCGUGGGGAGCAAACAGG